rnacentral:rRNA from 1 species
CCUACGGGUGGCAGCAGUGAGGACUAUUGGUCAAUGGACGAGAGUCUGAACCAGCCAAGUAGCGUGAAGGAUGACUGCCCUAUGGGUUGUAAACUUCUUUUAUAUGGGAAUAAAAUGUUCCACGUGUGGGAUUUUGUAUGUACCAUAUGAAUAAGGAUCGGCUAACUCCGUGCCAGCAGCCGCGGUAAUACGGAGGAUCCGAGCGUUAUCCGGAUUUAUUGGGUUUAAAGGGAGCGUAGGUGGAUUGUUAAGUCAGUUGUGAAAGUUUGCGGCUCAACCGUAAAAUUGCAGUUGACACUGGCAGUCUUGAGUACAGUAGAGGUGGGCGGAAUUCGUGGUGUAGCGGUGAAAUGCUUAGAUAUCACGAAGAACUCCGAUUGCGAAGGCAGUUCACUGGACUGCAACUGACACUGAGGCUCGAAAGUGUGGGUAUCAAACAGGAUUAGAUACCCCUGUAGUC